rnacentral:rRNA from 1 species
CCUUUGUACACACCGCCCGUCGCUACUACCGAUUGAAUGGUUAUAGUGAGCAUAUGGGAUCAGUAGGAUUAGACUGGCAACAGUCUUUCCCUGCAGAGAACUAUGGCAAACUAGGCUAUUUAGAGG